CUCCAAGAUUGUACACACUUCGGGGGAGGAAGCCCUAGUGAUGGGCGCUCACCAGAUGAACAAUUCAGUGGUCACAGAUGUAGCUGUGAACAUGUGAUCCAUCAUCUCGUGGACAACAAAAGACUUUUUCCAGGACCAGCAAUGAUUUCCAUGUGCUCACAAGGCUUUAUGAAUGUGCUGUCCCGCCCGUAGGUCAGCCCGGCGAUGCAUUCUCUGCGCUUCGCGACUUAGGGGAGCUCAAAAAAGAGGACUGAGACUUAUGGUGUCAAAGAUUGCCUUUACUGCUAACUUACUAGCUUGGGAGGCUGUGCCCUAGUUUUCUUCCGAACAAAAAUAAGAGAAAUAACACUUGGCUGAGUGUCUUGCUUCUCCUUUUGGACGGGACAUUGAAAGGACACCAAAACCCUUCUCAGAGGUUCUAAAGGAAAUGUAUGUUGUCCGGAUGUGGAAAAUCAGGAGUGCUACUUUCAGAGGGGACCUGAGGAGUGAGGAUUUAAACUUACCUGUUUAUUGGUGCUGGCAGGGGUCAGAGAGCAGAGACCUGUGGGGUCUACAGCAGUAAUGAAUGUGCCUUACUUCUCUAAUGAAAGAGAGAGAGAGAAGAUUUUUCUAGAUGCUCCAGAGGCAGAACCUUUCAUUGCGACCUGGUAUUGGGUUGGGAAUUUAUCUACACUGUUUGUCAGUAGAAGAUUUGAGAAUUUUUGCUCUGGCUUCCAGAGUUCUUAAGAAAUUGCCAGAUUUUGUGCAAACACCUACCCUUCUCUUCCCUUCCUCAAGUAAGUUUCCCCUAACUAAAUGUGCGAUUGUUGGUGUGUUGGCAUCUGGCAUUUAGUAGAUGAUCAGUAAAUAUUUGUGAAUGACUGAAUGAGUGUAAUCACAUGAGGGAAUGAUUAAAUAAUUAUUGUAUAAUAUAUUCUGAAGUUUUGCUUUUUCCCUCCCAUUUAAACCACUUGAUUUGUUUGAAGAAGGAACGUGGCUCAGUUGUCAGUCGUACAUGCAUAGCACGAAGCGGAAAAUCCAGUCUCUCAAAAAAAAAAAAAGACAAAAAUGAAAAUAUCGAAUGGACUCUUGUCGAAUUCAUCUAGAAAUAUCUGCAAUUCUCAUGAAAAGAAUGUAAAAUGUCUGAGUAAAAAUCUCGUGAAUUUCUAAAACACGUUAGAAUGUCUGGCCCUUUACCAUACAGA